CCCUUAGAUGUUCUGGGCCGCACGCGCGCUACACUGAUGCAUUCAACGAGCCUAUCCUUGACCGACAGGUCCGGGUAAUCUUUGAAUCUGCAUCGUGACGGGGAUAGAUUAUUGCAAUUAUUAAUCUUCAACGAGGAAUGCCUUGUAGGCGCAAGUCAUCAGCUUGCGUCGAUUACGUCCCUGCCCUUUGUACACACCGCCCGUCGCUCCUACCGAUUGGGUGUGCUGGUGAAAUGUUCGGAUCGGCCGUUUGUCGCGGUUUCCGCGUCAUGUGGCUGAGAAGUUCAUUAAACCCUCCCACCUAGAGGAAGGAGAAGUCGUAACA
rnacentral:rRNA from 1 species